CCUACGGGAGGCAGCAGCAGGGAAUAUUGCACAAUGGGCGAAAGCCUGAUGCAGCGACACCGCGUGCGGGAUGAAGGCCUUCGGGUUGUAAACCGCUUUCAGGAGGGACGAAAAUGACGGUACCUCCAGAAGAAGGCCCGGCCAACUACGUGCCAGCAGCCGCGGUAAUACGUAGGGGCCAAACGUUGUCCGGAUUUAUUGGGCGUAAAGGGCUCGUAGGCGGUUCAGCAAGUCGGCCGUGAAAACCCGGGGCUCAACCCCGGGACGCCGGUCGAAACUGCUGUGACUAGGGUCCGGUAGAGGUGAGUGGAAUUCUCGGUGUAGCGGUGGAAUGCGCAGAUAUCGAGAGGAACACCAGUAGCGAAGGCGGCUCACUGGGCCGGUACCGACGCUGAGGAGCGAAAGCGUGGGGAGCAAACAGGAUUAGAUACCCUGGUAGUCCACGCCGUAAACGUUGAACACUAGGUGUGGCGGAUUUAUCAACGUCUGCCGCGCCGACGCUAACGCAUUAAGUGUUCCGCCUGGGGAGUACGGCCGCAAGGCUAAAACUCAAAGGAAUUGACGG
rnacentral:rRNA from 1 species